UACGUAGGCAGCAAGCGUUGUUCGGCAUUACUGGGCGUAAAGGGCUCGUAGGCGGCCAACUAAGUCGGAUGUGAAAUCCCCAGGCUCAACCUGGGAACUGCGUCCGAUACUGGAUGGCUUGAAUUCGGGAGAGGGAUGCAGAAUUCCAGGUGUAGCGGUGAAAUGCGUAGAUAUCUGGAGGAAUACCGGUGGCGAAGGCGGCAUCCUGGACCGACAUUGACGCUGAGGAGCGAAAGCUAGGGGAGCAAACGGG
rnacentral:rRNA from 1 species